rnacentral:miRNA from 1 species
GACGUCGAUAUUCGACGUCAUAAACACGAACAACUUUGGUGUUUAUGACGUCGAUAUUCGACGUCAUAAACACGAACAACUUUAGUGUUUAUGACGUCGAUAUUCGACGUCAUAAACACGAACAAUUUUGGUGUUUAUGACGUCGAUAUUCGACGUCAUAAACACGAACAACUUUGGUGUUAAUGACGUCGAAUAUCGACGUCAUAAACACGAACAACUUUGGUGUUUAUGACGUCGAUAUUCGACGUC